GCCAGCGCCACACGUGGGUGCCCCCUGCGCCCCGCCCUGCAUGCGCGGUCCACUUGGACACCGAAAGGCUCCAGGGACAGGGUCUUCCGGGGUGGACGUGGCGCUCCCGGCACUGGGCCCUGCGUGGCAUCUGGGGAUUUAGAGGCGCCCGGCUCCCACCGGGCGGAGGAGGGGAAACCCCGGCAAAGAGCCGGGACUCCGGGAGGAUCCCCUGCGUAUUUGAAUAUUCAGCUCAUUUGGACAUGUUCAGAAGUCAGAAAACUACUGUCAUGCAAGCAGCUAGGAGGGUUUCAAACUUGAAGAACCGCAAAGCAGAACAAGUGGAGAAGGACUUGGGAGGGCAGGUUGCAACAUGCUGACUCCUCUCGGUGCCGGUGCCGGAGAAGACCGGAGCAAUUGGAAAAAGUAUUACAUCAAUGGUAUUAUGGAAAACAAUUAAAAAGGUGGACUCCUUGGGGCGCCUGGGUGCCUCAGUCGGUUAAGAGUCCGA